rnacentral:tRNA from 4 species
GGCGGGGUGCCGGAGUGGUUGAACGGGGCGGUCUCGAAAACCGUUAUACUCAAAAGGUAUCGUGAGUUCGAAUCUCACCCCCGCCG